AAUACUUGUAACAUUUAGCUCAUAAUAAUAAUUCAUAAAAUCUAUGAAAAUGAAGUUUCUUUUUGUUAUACUGCUCAUAACUUUAUUAGGUGCUGCAUUUGUCAAUUCACAAAUUACCGUUAACAAUUCACAUGAAGAUGACAGAUCUACUCACAAAGCUGUAAAUAUGAUUAAUACUGGAAAAUAGAAUCUGGAAGAAGUAGCACAUUAUUAUUACAACACGUGUAUAUUUAAUAAAAUUGAUAUUAUAUAUUAUA